rnacentral:miRNA from 1 species
AUUAGUUUGGUGCAAAAGUAAUUGUCAUUUUUGCCAUUACUUUCAAUAGCAAAAACCUCAAUUAGUUUUGCACAAAUUACU